UGGGGAAUCUUGCGCAAUGGGCGAAAGCCUGACGCAGCGACGCCGCGUGAGUGAUGAAGGCCUUCGGGUUGUAAAGCUCUGUGGAGGGGGACGAAUAAGUCGGAGCGAACAGCUCCGAUGAUGACGGUACCCCUUUAGCAAGCACCGGCUAACUCUGUGCCAGCAGCCGCGGUAAGACAGAGGGUGCAAACGUUGUUCGGAAUUACUGGGCGUAAAGCGCGUGUAGGUGGCUCUGACAAGUGAGGUGUGAAAGCCCUGGGCUCAACCCAGGAAGUGCACUUCAAACUAUCGAGCUUGAAUGCCGGAGAGGAAAGCGGAAUUCUCGGUGUAGAGGUGAAAUUCGUAGAUAUCGAGAGGAACACCCGUGGCGAAGGCGGCUUUCUGGACGGCGAUUGACACU
rnacentral:rRNA from 1 species